CAGAGGGCGCGAGCGUUGUCCGGAAUCACUGGGCGUAAAGGGCGCGUAGGUGGCCACUAUAAGGCCGCGGUGAAAGUUCGGGGCUCAACCCUGAAUCUGCCGCGGCGACUGUAGGGCUUGGGCACUGUAGAGGCAGAUGGAAUUCCGGGUGUAGCGGUGGAAUGCGUAGAGAUCCGGAAGAACACCGGUGGCGAAGGCGGUCUGCUGGGCAGUGGACCCGUGAGGGUCCAAUAGCCGACACUGAGGCGCGACAGCGUGGGGAGCAAACAGGAUUAGAUACCCUGGUAGUCCACGCCGUAAACGAUGGGCACUAGGUGCUCCGGGGAGCGACCCUUGGAGUACCGGCGCUAACGCAUGAAGUGCCCCGCCUGGGGAGUACGGCCGCAAGGCUG
rnacentral:rRNA from 1 species